UACGUAGGAUGCAAGCGUUGUCCGGAUUUAUUGGGUUUAAAGGGUGCGUAGGCGGCCUAUUAAGUUAGUGGUGAAAACGUUCGGCUUAACCGGAUACCCGCCAUUGAUACUGAUAGACUUGAGUGCGACAGAGGGUGUUGGAAUGUGUGGUGUAGCGGUGAAAUGCUUAGAGAUCACGCAGAACACCAAUUGCGAAGGCAGAUGCCUAUGUCGUAACUGACGAUGAGGCACGAAAGCGUGAGGAGCAAACAGG
rnacentral:rRNA from 1 species